rfam:Capsicum annuum cultivar Zunla-1 chromosome 2, whole genome shotgun sequence
AUCUUGUGAAGAGGAUAAUUUCUAAAAACAUCUUUGAAUCUCUCCCAUGAUUGGUAUAAAUUCUCUUUGGCAUUCUACUUGAAACAUAAUAUUUAACUUCUUAACCU